rnacentral:lncRNA from 1 species
CUGGGAUAUGAGCUUUCUCUCUUGGUUCUCAAAUUGUAUUCAACACUCUAGUAUAAGGGAUUAUUCAUUGCUCCUGGAACAUAAUACAAAUUUUUGUCCCCAUAGCUUUGCUCAUACUAUUUCUUAUUCCAAAAGAAGGGACUAGUUUAUUCUUCUAAUACAAUUAUUAUCAUUCCUAUUUUACAGAUGAGUAAAUUGAGACUUAAAAGUCAAUUGGCUUGCUCAAGAUUAUAUAGUCAUUCAGUAUUGAGGGUACUAAAUCUUCAGUCAAUGAGUACAAUGCCAUUUGUGAGCACAAACAUUUGGAGGACUCUGCUUUUACCAGAGGAUUGUUCUAUUUGGAUAGGGUAAGGAAUUCUUCCCAAUAAUGUCAUAGAGAUUACAUCUUCAGCUUCUAAUCCAGAAUAAUGAUACAAACACUGAAACAACACUAUGCAAGAAGCUUCCUAUGCUACUCUUGGCUAAAAUGCUUAGGCCAUCCUGGCUGAUGGCAGAAAUCUGAUACCAGUAAUACUAUGCUUUGCAAUCUAUACCUACCACAAAGGAUAAUAAAUAAUAGCAAUGGAAAAAUCCA